GACCUACAGACAGUAUAUCUCCCAUGAUAUUAUAGCACUUAAUGAGGUCUAACACAGUAAAUUACAGACAGUAUAUCUCCCCAUGAUAUCAUAGCACUUAAUGAGGUCUAACACAGUAAAUUACAGACCUACAGACAGUAUAUCUACCUAGCUGUGUUGAAUCUGGAUGUGUGUGGAAAUGUGUGUGUGUGUUUGUGUGUGUGUGUGUGAGAGUAUGCGAGUGUGUGUUCUUGUCCAUGCGUUUACCUCUAGACAUUGUGUGUGUGUGUGUGUGUGUGUGUGUGUGUGUGUUUACAUUGUGUGUGUCUUAUACUAACUCCCUUAUUCAAGGAUCCACAAUUUGCUGAAUGGUCUCUGCUCAGGAAUAAAACUUGUGUGUC